GCCCAUUGGCCGGGGUACC
rnacentral:misc_RNA from 1 species